rnacentral:rRNA from 1 species
UACAGAGGUCUCAAGCGUUGUUCGGAUUCAUUGGGCGUAAAGGGUGCGUAGGCGGCGCGGUAAGUCGGGUGUGAAAUCUCGGAGCUUAACUCCGAAACUGCAUUCGAUACUGCCGUGCUUGAGGACUGGAGAGGAGACUGGAAUUCAUGGUGUAGCAGUGAAAUGCGUAGAGAUCAUGAGGAAGACCAGUGGCGAAGGCGGGUCUCUGGACAGUUCCUGACAGCUGA